rnacentral:misc_RNA from 1 species
AGAAUGGUGAGAAUUCCUGAGGCUUCACUUGGUUCAAGUGAUAAGAAAAUUCCCAGAGUAGGAUUUGGAACAGCUGAAUUCCCUUUUGGUGAAUCUGCAGAAGUGAUAACAGAAUCAAUUGUUCAUGCUAUGAAGGUGGGUUAUCGGCACUUCGAUACUGCGUCGGUUUACAAGUGUGAGAAGUUCCUUGGAGAUGGAAUAUCAGAAGCUCUUCGCCUUGGGUAUAUCAAUUCCAGGGACCAGCUCUUUAUCACCUCCAAGCUAUGGUGCAGAGAUGCCCAUCAUGAUCUUGUCGUCCCUGCCCUCAAGAAAACUCUUAUGAACU